CUAGGCCGGGCCCUGCCAGGGAGCAAGUCUGCAUCACAGAGGCCAGGGCAGAGUGGCUCCUCACAGCCUGAAGCUCAUCCUUCUGCACGGGCCGGCCAGGCCAGCACAGAGGCACCGGGGCAGCAGUGCACACAGGUCCCCGGGGACCCCACCAUGUGGACCGGAUGGUGGCUCUGGCCCCUUGUGGCCGUCUGCACUGCAGACUUCUUUCGGGACGAGGCAGAGAGGAUCAUGAGGGACUCCCCUGUCAUUGAUGGGCACAAUGACCUCCCCUGGCAGCUGCUGGAUAUGUUCAACAACCGGCUGCAGGACGAGAGGGCCAACCUGACCACCUUGGCCGGCACACACACCAACAUCCCCAAGCUGAGGGCCGGCUUUGUGGGAGGCCAGUUCUGGUCCGUGUACACGCCCUGCGACACCCAGAACAAAGACGCUGUGCGGAGGACACUGGAGCAGAUGGACGUGGUCCACCGCAUGUGCCGGAUGUACCCGGAGACCUUCCUGUAUGUCACCAGCAGUGCAGGCAUUCGGCAGGCCUUCCGGGAAGGGAAGGUGGCCAGCCUGAUCGGCGUGGAGGGCGGCCACUCCAUUGACAGCAGUCUGGGCGUCCUGCGGGCACUCUAUCAGCUGGGCAUGCGGUACCUGACCCUCACCCACAGCUGCAACACGCCCUGGGCUGACAACUGGCUGGUGGACACGGGAGACAGUGAGCCCCAGAGCCAAGGCUUGUCACCCUUUGGGCAGCGUGUGGUGAAGGAGCUGAACCGUCUGGGAGUCCUCAUCGACUUGGCUCACGUGUCUGUGGCCACCAUGAAGGCCACCCUGCAGCUGUCCAGAGCCCCGGUCAUCUUCAGCCACUCCUCGGCCUACAGCGUGUGCGCAAGCCGGCGCAACGUGCCUGACGACGUCCUGAGGCUGGUGAAACAGACAGACAGCCUGGUGAUGGUGAACUUCUACAACAAUUACAUUUCCUGCACCAACAAGGCCAACCUGUCCCAAGUGGCCGGUAGGUGGGGUGUGAGCGGCCAAGGGGGCCGAAGGGGGAGGGCCUCACUUGGGACCCAUACCUGCUGCUCCCUGGACAGACCAUCUGGAUCACAUCAAGGAGGUGGCAGGAGCCGGAGCCGUGGGUUUUGGUGGGGACUUUGAUGGUGUUCCAAGGUAAGGGGGUGAGAGCUCUGUCCUGUGGAUGAGCCGGGAGGUUCAUGGCCUCGUCAGAGGGAUGAGGCGGCUGGAGGAGGGACCUGUGUCCUAGUGUGGGGGCCCAGGUUCUCCUGGCCUCAACACAGGGUCCCUGAGGGGCUGGAGGACGUCUCCAAGUAUCCAGACCUGAUCGCUGAGCUGCUCAGGAGGAACUGGACGGAGGCGGAGGUCAAGGGCGCACUGGCUGACAACCUGCUGAGGGUCUUCGAGGCUGUGGAACAGGUGAGGACGGGGUGGCCACCCGAGUCUCCCCCACCACCACCAGCAGGCAGGCUGCCCCACCUGUGUCUGUCUGUCCUCAGGCCAGCAACCUCACACAGGCUCCCGAGGAGGAGCCCAUCCCGCUGGACCAGCUGGGCGGCUCCUGCAGGACCCAUUACGGCUACUCCUCUGGGGCUUCCAGCCUCCAUCGCCACUGGGGGCUCCUGCUGGCCUCCCUCGCUCCCCUGGUCCUCUGUCUGUCUCUCCUGUGAAACCUGGGAGACCAGAGUCCCCUUUAGGGUUCCCGGAGCUCCGGGAAGACCCGCCCAUCCCAGGACUCCAGAUGCCAGGAGCCCUGCUGCCCACAUGCAAGGACCAGCAUCUCCUGAGAGGACGCCUGGGCUUACCUGGGGGGCAGGAUGCCUGGGGACAGUUCAGGACACACACA
rnacentral:sRNA from 1 species